ACCCUCUUUUGCAUCCAAGAGACACUCCAUAUGAAAACCAAAGACCCUCUAAUUAAUGGACAUCCCCAAAUUGAUCAAAUCAAAGUGACGCCCCAUAAUAACUAUCAAGGAGAUUCAUAAGGGACUUACACCCUUAAUUUAUAUGAUCCAUAACCUUAAACAUCCAAUAAUUGGAGUCUCAUGAAUCUUAUUCAUAUAGAUUAUUAGCAGAUAAUUUAGUUAGAAUUAUCUUAUCAAAUAAGUAAUCCCAACGAAAAGAGAAAUUGGAUCCAACCAUGUGCUAGCAAGGUUACCAUGAACCCAAUGGGUUUCUCUAAACCCAAUUGAUACUUCAUAAGUUUAAUUUCUUAUUUCAGACCUAAUCUUUUUGUUGUGUGACCCCAUAGGUUUAAUUCUAUCUGGCAGUGAGAUAUACAAUGAUCUCUAUUAUUAUAUCAUUGAAACUCUUUUCAAUGGAUCGGAAUAAUUCCACUCUAACUCAGCAAGGAUUGUCGAUCCGGAAUAAUCCUAGUGAGCUCUCACAACCCAUCAAUGACACCUAGCAGUAUAUAGUGGUAAUCCAAUAGAAUUGAAAUGAACCUCUAGAUAUAGUUAACGUGUGAUUUAGUCCCUUUAUCGUGAGUCCCGACUAGAUGGC
rnacentral:lncRNA from 1 species